UAUCUCAGUCAGUUGGAGUGUGGUGCUGAUAACACUAAGGUCACGGGUUCGAUUCCUGU
rnacentral:tRNA from 1 species